rnacentral:pre_miRNA from 1 species
AACUCUGGACCCACUUCCAUACAAUGACAGCAUUCGAAUGUGUGAAAGUGAGGCCAGUGUGGU